AGAGCUACUGCUUCCGCUGGCCACCUAGCUCACCGGCGACGUCCUCGAGCUCCUGCCGCUGGCCACCUCACCGGCAUGCUGCUGCUGGUCACCUCCGCAACCAUCUGCUACCCGGUGUUACAACUAACUCGAGCCAGUAUGAAGAGAGGGGUAGGAUUUGCUGAACGAAACUAUUCGUGGUCACGGAUUUUGGUGUCUACGCGAUGCAUACCAGAACCUGGGGUUUGUCGCUCAGUUGAGCUCCGGCUGCUGGAACGUCCUCCCAAGCCUUGGAUGCACCCCUGGAACCAGUGACGGUCUUUUGCACCGAAGGCAUGGUCGUAGACUAGUGGUGGUCUCGCUUGCCGGCAACAUGGUGCCUUUCCGUCCAACCCCGGUGCACCGAGAUCGGCUACAAUUGUUCUCAGGGCCUAGAGCAUGUAUGUAGACUGAAGGAUGCACAAAGAUUCAACAGGGUUGUGCUAGUUGCAGCGACAAGCGUAUUGUUUUGCAGGGCUGGCGGGAGGAGUUAACCGCCGUGCAGGCAUGGCGGCAGGAUGGCAUGGAGGACGAGAUCACGGUCACCUUCCUAGAGCUGCUAUUGUUGGUGGCUCUCCUCGAUUAUCUCUCCGAAAUGCUGGCUCCAACGACGUCCUUGAUGUUCUAGUGCUGGCCAAAACCCUAUUCCUCUGCUACUGACGACCUCCCUAGCCCGCAGCUACCUAUUGCAUGUGGUGACUCCUGCUGGUAAUGUAUUGGUUGAAGACUUAACGAAACAGGUUUUGCUUGGCCUGGUGCACUUGGAGGUGACAUGGCUCGGCUUGAGAAACUGAUGAGGCCCGGCCUCAGUUACGACCUCUAUGGUAAGCCUACCAUACUAAUAAACAGCACAAUAAGGCGUUAGAUGGAUAUACAUUUGUCUUGCUUGAGAGGAUGAUGAAGCGGACGGAGAAGAGAGCGUCACUUUCUGCGGCAGUGACUACUUCCACCUCUUGCUGCCCAUCCUGGAUGCAGUUCCUCGAGCUGUAAUUUUGUUGUUGCUGGAAGAGUAGUUAAUCUGUGAAGCUUGGUUUUAUCCUUGAGUCAUGUAACUGUGAAAAUAGUGAUGAGAUGAGAGCUUCCCCAUUGUUAGGAGCCGGGUAGUGCUGGUUGCAUGCACAAGCUCAUUGUAUUGUUCCAGCAAUCUUGAUUUUAGUAAAUGCAUGAAGUGAUGAUCACAUGA